AACUGUAUUAUUAGGUCUAAUAUUAAAAAUUUAUUAUCUUUCUCAUAUUUUGUAUAUCUAGAGCACUUGGAGGAUCAUUCAUUCAUUAUUCAUUCACUCACUGAUAUUUACUGAGAGUUUACCAGCACUCAUCAAAACAAGUGAGUGAGUGAUCCAGCUAAGAAACAAAAGACUUCACGGUCCCUGCUCUCAAGAAGGAGAAAGACAAGAAUCAAUGAGAAAGAAGAAAUACACAGGGUAAAAUUGAAUGCUGCUAAACAAGCUAGCACCUGGCACUUUCUUCCACGGAUGUGUUUGAGCUAUGGGAGCCCACCUACAUUUACAGAAAAUGAAGAUGCCCAGAAGAUUACACCUUCUCCAGAAUGUAUCUUAACUGAAAUAAGACAAUCACCGAUUGUUUUAAG
rnacentral:lncRNA from 1 species